rnacentral:sRNA from 1 species
AAUGGAGAGUGGCGCAGUAUUCUAGUCAGUCUACCGUUUCUGAAGGCGGGCCUAAAAAUUCGCCAAAGGGCACAUCGAUGAAGUUCCUUGUGUUGGCUUUCGACGCCCAGUCGGGGGUUGAUGCUGGGAGUUAAGGUUGGAGGGCGAUCCGCAAUGGCAUGCGGGCGUUGACCCUCCUUCCGCGGAGGCCCAAGUGCGUGGUGAGAAGCCACCGAGCUGCUCAUUACGGCUUGGGGUAUGAACCUGCAGUAGCAGGCCUCAAUUGCAUGGGUUCGCGCCUAGCUAAAACGGUCUGUAUGCAGCGUAGCCUGCCUUGAGCGGGGCAGAGGGGAUUAUAGAUGGUAGGCAGCCGGUUCUUCGGCCAAAGAACGUGCUGCUGGAUGCUAUAUGAAAUCUGUCCUGCAAAAGAGGCUAAGAUUCGGUCAAGGGCUGUUGAGGAAAUCUCCUAGACUGUUCACGCAAGUGUGGCCUUCUGAGGAUUAUAGUGUGGACUAAGUGGUAAUUCAGUCUGGCGUUCGGAGACGGCGCCAAGGCGGACUUAAUGGGAAACCGCCAUGCUGGUGACAGGAUGGCGUCCGCUUGGGAAAACCUACUGGACCUAAGCCACAGUGUUUACUCGGAAUGCUGCCACUCUACAUUUUU